rnacentral:rRNA from 1 species
GUGUGUUGAUUUGAGCGUUCGGUGGAUGCCUUGGCAUCAGGGGCCGAUGAAGGACGUGGUGGCCUGCGAUAUUCCUCGGGGAGCCGGCUGGCGGGCUGUGAUCCGAGGGUUUCCGAAUGGGGGGACCCGGCACGAGUUAUGUCGUGUCACCUGCAUCUGAAUUGUAUAGGGUGUGGGGGGUGACGCGGGGAAGUGAAACAUCUUAGUACCCGUAGGAGAAGAUAUUCCGUGAGUAGUGGCGAGCGAAAGCGGAUGAUGGUUAAACCGUGUGCGUGUGAUACUCGGCAGGGGUUGCGUGUGCGGGGUUGUGGGGCUGUCCUGUUUUCUCUUCUGCCGGAGAGGGGGCGCGUGUGCUGGCUGGUAGCUGAAUCGUCUGGGAAGGCGUGGCGUAGUGGGUGAUACCCCCGUAGGCGGAACUGGUUGGUGCGUGUCUGGGACGGUUUGCCCGAGUAGCACGGGGCUCGUGGAAUCCUGUGUGAAUCUGCCAAGACCACUUGGCUGCCUGAAUACCUCCUGAUGACCGAUAGUGGAUGAGUACCGUGAGGGAAUGGUGAAAAGUACCCCGGGAGGGGAGUGAAAGAGUACCUGAAACCGUGUGCUUACAAGCCGUUAUAGCCCCCGUUGUGUGGGGUGGUGGCGUGCCUUUUGAAGAAUGAGCCUGCGAGUUAGUGUUUUGUCGCGAGGUUAACCCGUGUGGGGUAGUCGUAGCGAAAGCGAGUCUGAAUAGGGCGUUGUAGUGGCAGGAUCUAGACCCGAAGCGGAGUGAUCUAUCCAUGGCCAGGUUGAAGCACGUGUAAGAGCGUGUGGAGGACCGAACCCACCUAGGUUGAAAACUGGGGGGAUGAGCUGUGGGUAGGGGUGAAAGGCCAAUCAAACUCCGUGAUAGCUGGUUCUCCCCGAAAUGCAUUUAGGUGCAGCGUCGCGUGUUGCCCGGCGGAGGUAGAGCUACUGGGUGGCUGAUGGGCCCCACAGGGUUACUGACGUCAACCAAACUCCGAAUGCCGUCUGGGUUGAGUGCGGCAGUGAGACUGCGGGGGAUAAGCUCCGUGGUCGAGAGGGAAACAGCCCGGAUCGCCGGCUAAGGCCCCUAAGCGUGUGCUAAGUGGGAAAGGAUGUGCGGUCGCGCAGACAACCAGGAGGUUGGCUUAGAAGCAGCCAUCCUUGAAAGAGUGCGUAAUAGCUCACUGGUCGAGUGGUCGUGCGCCGACAAUGUAGCGGGGCUCAAGCACACCGCCGAAGCCGCGGACCCCCAACAUAGUCCCUUCAGGCCGGUUGUUACCGGUUUGGCAGGGGUUGGGGGUGGUAGGGGAGCGUCCUGCACUGGGUGAAGCCUGGGGGUGACCCACGGGUGGACGGUGCGGGAGUGAGAAUGCAGGCAUGAGUAGCGAUGACUAGGGUGAGAAGCCCUAGCGCCGAGAGACCAAGGGUUCCAGGGCCAGGCUAGUCCGCCCUGGGUGAGUCGGGACCUAAGGCGAGGCCGACAGGCGUAGUCGAUGGAUGACGGGUUGAUAUUCCCGUACCGGCGAAGCACCGCCCAUGCUGACGCGCGGGUGCUAACCCACGCCCAACCAUCAUGUUGGCCGCGCCUACUCCUUUCGGGGGGUGGUGUGGUUGUGGUGGUGGGGUCUGGGGACCCUCCGUGCAGGUAGGCAAGCGUGUUAACAGGGGUGACGCACAGUGGUAGCCCGGCGGACCUGAUGGCUUGGUCCGUUCAAGCGCGCAGCCCGUCCUCCAGGCAAAUCCGGAGUGACUGCCUCCUUGAGAGGUGAGGGUGAGGCGUGAUGGUGACCUCACACUGGUGGGGGAUAACAGGGUGAUCCUGGGGUGCCGAGAAAAGCCUCGACGCGAUGGUGCCAGCCGCCCGUACCCUAAACCGACACAGGUGGUCGGGCAGAGUAUGCCUAGGCGCACGAGUGAAUCAUGGUUAAGGAACUCGGCAAAAUGCCCCCGUAACUUCGGGAGAAGGGGGGCCUGAGCUUUGAAGCCCCUUCGCGGGCUAGGAGCAAGGGUCGCAGAGAACAGGGGGGAGCGACUGUUUACUAAAAACACAGGUCCGUGCGAAGCCGUAAGGCGAUGUAUACGGACUGACGCCUGCCCGGUGCUGGAAGGUUAAGAGGAACCAUCAACCCCCUCCUUUGUGGGGUGAAGUGGUGAAUUUAAGCCCCAGUAAACGGCGGUGGUAACUAUAACCAUCCUAAGGUAGCGAAAUUCCUUGUCGGGUAAGUUCCGACCUGCACGAAUGGCGUAACGACUUCCCCACUGUCUCCACCACGGGCUCGGCGAAAUUGCAUUACGAGUAAAGAUGCUCGUUACGCGCAGAAGGACGGAAAGACCCCGGGACCUUUACUAUAGCUUGGUAUUGGCGUCCGCCAUGGUUUGUGCAGGAUAGGUGGGAGACUGUGAGACCGCCACGCUAGUGGUGGUGGAGUCAUUGUUGAGAUACCACUCUGGCUGUGGCGUGCGCCUGAACCUCGGCCCGUGAUCCGGGUCAGGGACAGUGCCUGGUGGGUAGUUUAACUGGG